CGCACAUUGCGCCCCUUGGCAUUCCGAGGGGCAUGCCUGUUCGAGCGUCAUUAUCACCACUCAAGCUCCGCUUGGUGUUGGGGCGCGCCAGCAAUGGCGGCCCCUAAUUCGAGUGGCGGCGCCGCUGGGUUCCGAGUGUAGUCAAUCAACGCGCUCUGGAUCCCCGAGGCGGCCGGCCAACAACCCAACUCAUCACAGUUGACCUCGGAUCAGGUAGGAAUACCCGCUGAACUUAA
rnacentral:misc_RNA from 1 species